rnacentral:rRNA from 1 species
AUUGAACGCUGGCGGCAGGCCUAACACAUGCAAGUCGAGCGGAUGAAGGGAGCUUGCUCCUGGAUUCAGCGGCGGACGGGUGAGUAAUGCCUAGGAAUCUGCCUGGUAGUGGGGGAUAACGUCCGGAAACGGGCGCUAAUACCGCAUACGUCCUGAGGGAGAAAGUGGGGGAUCUUCGGACCUCACGCUAUCAGAUGAGCCUAGGUCGGAUUAGCUAGUUGGUGGGGUAAAGGCCUACCAAGGCGACGAUCCGUAACUGGUCUGAGAGGAUGAUCAGUCACAGGGGACAGGAAAAAGGGUCAGAACCCAAAGGGGGGGAGGAAGGGGGAAAUAGGGAAAAUGGGGGAAAGGCGUGAUCCAGAAAGGCGGGGGGGGGAAAGAAGUUCUGGGGAUUGAAAAGCAUUUAAGGUGGGGAGGAAGGGAAAAAAGUAAAUACCUGGUUUUUUUGAGUUAACAAAAAAAAAAAGAACGGAAAAACUUGGUG